rnacentral:rRNA from 1 species
AUACGGAGGGUGCGAGCGUUAAUCGGAAUUACUGGGCGUAAAGGGUCCGUAGGCGGUCUGCUUAGUCUGAUGUGAAAGCCCCGGGCUUACCUGGGAAUGGCAUUGGAUACUGGCGGACUUGAGUCUGGUAGAGGGUGGUGGAAUUCCCGGUGUAGCGGUAAAAUGCGUAGAUAUCGGGAGGAACACCAGUGGCGAAGGCGGCCACCUGGACCAAGACUGACGCUGAGGGACGAAAGCGUGGGGAGCAAACAGGAUUAGAAACCCCAGUAGUCC